CCUACGGGAGGCUGCAGUGAGGAAUAUUGGUCAAUGGACGAGAGUCUGAACCAGCCAAGUAGCGUGAAGGAUGACUGCCCUAUGGGUUGUAAACUUCUUUUAUAUGGGAAUAAAACGUUCCACGUGUGGGAUUUUGUAUGUACCAUAUGAACAAGGAUCGGCUAACUCCGUGCCAGCAGCCGCGGUAAUACGGAGGAUCCGAGCGUUAUCCGGAUUUAUUGGGUUUAAAGGGAGCGUAGGUGGAUUGUUAAGUCAGUUGUGAAAGUUUGCGGCUCAACCGUAAAAUUGCAGUUGAAACUGGCAGUCUUGAGUACAGUAGAGGUGGGCGGAAUUCGUGGUGUAGCGGUGAAAUGCUUAGAUAUCACGAAGAACUCCGAUUGCGAAGGCAGUUCACUGGACUGCAACUGACACUGAGGCUCGAAAGUGUGGGUAUCAAACAGGAUUAGAUACCCUUGUAGUC
rnacentral:rRNA from 1 species